rnacentral:rRNA from 1 species
AUUGAACGCUGGCGGCAUGCUUUACACAUGCAAGUCGAACGGUAACAGGUCUUCGGAUGCUGACGAGUGGCGAACGGGUGAGUAAUGUAUCGGAACGUGCCCAGUAGUGGGGGAUAACUACUCGAAAGAGUGGCUAAUACCGCAUGAGAACUGAGGUUGAAAGCGGGGGGACCUUCGGGCCUCGCGCUACUGGAGCGGCCGAUAUCAGAUUAGGUAGUUGGUGGGGUAAAGGCCUACCAAGCCGACGAUCUGUAGCUGGUCUGAGAGGACGACCAGCCACACUGGGACUGAGACACGGCCCAGACUCCUACGGGAGGCAGCAGUGGGGAAUUUUGGACAAUGGACGCAAGUCUGAUCCAGCAAUGCCGCGUGCAGGACGAAGGCCUUCGGGUUGUAAACUGCUUUUGUACAGAACGAAAAGGACUCUGGUUAAUACCUGGGGCUCAUGACGGUACUGUAAGAAUAAGCACCGGCUAACUACGUGCCAGCAGCCGACGG